rnacentral:rRNA from 1 species
GCCUGAUGCAGCAACGCCGCGUGAGGGAUGACGGCCUUCGGGUUGUAAACCUCUUUUAGUAGGGAAGAAGCGAAAGUGACGGUACCUGCAGAAAAAGCACCGGCUAACUACGUGCCAGCAGCCGCGGUAAUACGUAGGGUGCAAGCGUUGUCCGGAAUUAUUGGGCGUAAAGAGCUCGUAGGCGGCUUGUCGCGUCUGCUGUGAAAACCAGAGGCUCAACCUCUGGCCUGCAGUGGGUACGGGCAAGCUAGAGUGCGGUAGGGGAGAUUGGAAUUCCUGGUGUAGCGGUGGAAUGCGCAGAUAUCAGGAGGAACACCGAUGGCGAAGGCAGAUCUCUGGGCCGUAACUGACGCUGAGGAGCGAAAGCAUGGGGAGCGAACAGGAUUAGAUACCCUGGUAGUCCAUGCCGUAAACGUUGGGAACUAGAUGUAGGGCCUGUUCCACGGGUUCUGUGUCGUAGCUAACGCAUUAAGUUCCCCGCCUGGGGAGUACGGCCGCAAGGCUAAAACUCAAAGGAAUUGACGGGGGCCCGCACAAGCGGCGGAGCAUGCGGAUUAAUUCGAUGCAACGCGAAGAACCUUACCAAGGCUUGACAUAUACGAGAACACUGUAGAGAUACAGGACUCUUUGGACACUC